GCUCGUAGGCGGUUCAACAAGUCGGUCGUGAAAGCCCGGGGCUCAACCCCGGGACGCCGGUCGAAACUGUUGUGACUAGGGUCCGGUAGAGGUGAGUGGAAUUCUCGGUGUAGCGGUGGGAAUGCGCAGAUAUCGAGAGGAACACCAGUAGCGAAGGCGGCUCACUGGGCCGGUACCGACGCUGAGGAGCGAAAGCAUGGGGAGCAAACA
rnacentral:rRNA from 1 species